rnacentral:rRNA from 1 species
GCAGCAGCAGGGAAUAUUGCACAUAGGGCGAAAGCCUGAUGCAGCGACGCGCCGUGAGUGAAGAAGGCCUUCGGGUCGUAAAGCUCUUUUGUAGGGGAAGAGGAAGGACGGUACCCUAAGAAGAAGCGUCGGCUAACUACGUGCCAGCAGCCGCGGUAAGACGUAGGACGCGAGCGUUAUCCGGAAUUACUGGGCGUAAAGGGCCAGCAGGCGGCUUGGUAAGUUGUGCGUGAAAGCCUCGUGCUCAACGCGAGGAAGCCGGACAAUACUGUCAAGCUAGAGGGCAUCAGAGGGGAGUGGAAUUCCCGGAGUAGCGGUAAAAUGCGCAGAUAUCGGGAGGAACACCGAUGGCGAAGGCAGCUCCCUGGGAUGCACCUGACGCUAAGAGGCGAAAGCUAGGGGAGCGAACAGGAUUAGAGACCCUGGUAGUCCUAGCUGUAAACGCUGGGUGCUAGGUGUGGGACGUAGAAGUUCCGUGCCGGAGCAAACGCGAUAAGCACCCCGCCUGGGAAUUACGGUCGCAAGGCUAAAACUCAAACGAAUUGACGGGGCCCCGCACAAGCAGCGGAGCGUGUGGUUCAAUUCGAUGCUACACGAAGAACCUUACCUGGGUUUGACAUGUACGUGGUACGAAGGCGAAAGCCUAAGGACCCUUCGGGGAGCGUACACAGGUGCUGCAUGGCUGUCGUCAGCUCGUGCCGUGAGGUGUCGGGUUAAGUCCCGUAACGAGCGCAACCCUUGCCCUUAGUUACAAGUGUCUAAGGGGACUGCCGGCGGGAAGCCGGAGGAAGGUGGGGAUGACGUCAAGUCAGCAUGGCCCUUAUGUCCAGGGCUACACACACGCUACAAUGGUCAGUACAAAGGGUAGCGAAGUCGCGAGGCGGAGCGAAUCUCAACAAAGCUGAUCGUAGUUCGGAUUGCAGGCUGCAACCCGCCUGCA